ensembl:lncRNA CYP2B7P cytochrome P450 family 2 subfamily B member 7, pseudogene
GGGGUGCAGGGCAGUCAGACUGGAACCAUGGAGCUCAGCGUCCUCCUCUUCCUUGCACUCCUCACAGGCCUCUUGCUACUCCUGGUUCAGCGUCACCCUAACUCCCAUGGCACCCUCCCACCAGGGCCCCGCCCUCUGCCCCUUUUGGGGAACCUUCUGCAGAUGGACAGAAGAGGCCUACUCAAAUCCUUUCUGAGGUUCCGAGAGAAAUAUGGGGACGUCUUCACGGUACACCUGGGACCGAGGCCCGUGGUCAUGCUGUGUGGAGUAGAGGCCAUACGGGAGGCCCUGGUGGACAACGCUGAGGCCUUCUCUGGCCGGGGAAAAAUCGUCAUCAUGGACCCAGUCUACCAGGGAUAUGGCAUGCUCUUUGCCAAUGGAAACCGCUGGAAGGUGCUUCGGCGAUUCUCUGUGACCACCAUGAGGGACUUCGGGAUGGGAAAGCGGAGUGUGGAGGAGCGGAUUCAGGACGAGGCUCAGUGUCUGAUAGAGGAACUUCGGAAAUCCAAGGAGAGAGUCUACAAGGAGAUUGAACAGGUGGUUGGCCCACAUCGCCCUCCAGCGCUUGAUGACCGAGCCAAAAUGCCAUACACAGAGGCAGUCAUCCGUGAGAUUCAGAGAUUUGCUGACCUUCUCCCCAUGGGUGUGCCCCACAUUGUCACCCAACACACCAGCUUCUGAGGGUACACCAUCCCCAAGGACACGGAAGUAUUUCUCAUCCUGAGCACUGCUCUCCGUGACCCACACUACUUUGAAAAACCAGACGCCUUCAAUCCUGACCACUUUCUGGAUGCCAAUGGGGCACUGAAAAAGAAUGAAGCUUUUAUCCCCUUCUCCUUAGGGAAGCGGAUUUGUCUUGGUGAAGGCAUUGCCCGUGCGGAAUUGUUCCUCUUCUUCACCACCAUCCUCCAGAACUUCUCCGUGGCCAGCCCCGUGGCUCCUGAAGACAUCGAUCUGACACCCCAGGAGUGUGGUGUGGGCAAAAUACCCCCAACAUACCAGAUCUGCUUCCUGCCCCGCUGAAGGGGCUGAGGGAAGGGGGUCAAAGGAUUCCAGGGUCAUUCAGUGUCCCCACCUCUGUAGAUAAUGGCUCUGACUCCCUGCAACUUCCUGCCUCUGAGAGACCUGCUGCAAGCCAGCUUCCUUCCCUUCCAUGGCACCAGUUGUCUGAGGUCGCAGUGCAAAUGAGUGGAGGAGUGAGAUUAUUGAAAAUUAUAAUAUACAAAAUUAUAUAUAUAUAUUUUGAGACAGAGUCUCACUCAGUUGCCCAGGCUGGAGUGCAGUGGCGUGAUCUCGGCUCACUGCAACCUCCACCCCCGGGGUUCAAGAAAUUCUCCUGCCUCAGCCUCCCUAGUAGCUGGGAUUACAGGUGUGUGCUACCAUGCCUGGCUAAUUUUUGUAUUUUUAGUAGAGAUGGGGUUUCACCGUGUUGGCCAGGCUGAUCUCAAACUCCUGAACUCAAGUGAUUCACCCACCUUAGCCUCCCAAAGUGCUGGGAUUACAGGUGUGAGUCACCAUGCCCGGCCAUGUAUAUAUAUAAUUUUAAAAAUUAAGAUGAAAUUCACAUAAAAUAAAAUUAGCCAUUUUAAAGUGUACAAUUUAGUGGUGUGUGGUUCAUUCACAAAGCUGUACAACCACCACCAUCUAGUUCCAAACAUUUUCUUUUUUUCUGAGACGGAGUCUCACUCUGUCACCCAGGUUCGAGUUCAGUGGUCUUGAACUCCUGAUGUCAGGUGAUUCUCCUAGUUCCAAAUGUUUUCAUUAUCUCCCCCCAACAAAACCCAUACCUAUCAAGCUGUCACUCCCCAUACCCCAUUCUCUUUUUCAUCUCAGCCCCUGUCAAUCUGGUUUUUGUCCUUAUGGACUUACCAAUUCUGAAUAUUUCCUAUAAACAGAAUCACACAAUAUUUGAUUUUUUUUUUAAAACUAAGCCUUGCUCUGUCUCCCAGGCUGGAGUGCUGUGGCGUGAUUUUGGUUCACUGCAACCUCCGCCUUCCAAGUUCAAGAGAUUCUCCUGCCUCAGCUUCCAAGUAGCUGGGAUUACAGGCAUGUGGUACCACGCCUGGCUAAUUUUCUUGUAUUUUUAGUAGGGACAUGUUGGCCAGGCUGGUUGUGAGCUCCUGGCCUCAGGUGAUCCACACGCCUCAGUGUCCCAGAGUGCUGAUAUUACAGGCGUAAUAUGUGAUCUUUUGUGUCUGGUUCCUUUCACGUUGAACGCUAUUUUUGAGGUUCGUGCCUGUUGUAGACCACAGUCACACACUGCUGUAGUCUUCCCCCAUCCUCAUUCCCAGCUGCCUCCUCCUACUGUUUCCCUCUAUCAAAAAGCCUCCUUGGCGCAGGUUCCCUGAGCUGUGGGAUUCUGCACUGGUGCUUUGGAUUCCCUGAUAUGUUCCUUCAAAUCCACUGAGAAUUAAAUAAACAUCGCUAAAGCAUGACCUCCCCACGUCAAGAGGUGAUCUGUGCCA